AUUGAACGCUGGCGGCAGGCCUAACACAUGCAAGUCGAGCGAGCGGCGGACGGUUGUGUAAUGUCUGGGAAACUCCCUGUUGGAGUGGCAUAACUUCUGGAAACGGUAGCUAAUACCGCAUACCAUCUCAUGUGCCCCGAUGGGCUUAGCUAGUAGGUGGGGUAACGGCUCACCUCGGCGACGAUCCCUAGCUGGUCUGAGAGGAUGACCAGCCACACUGGAACUGAGAAACGGUCCAGACGCCUACGGGAGGCAGCAGUGGGGAAUAUUGCACAAUGGGCGCAAGCCUGAUGCAGCCAUGCCGCGUGUGUGAAGAAGGCCUUCGGGUUGUAAAGCAAUUUCAGCGGGGAGGCGGUAGCCGAAGAAGAAGCACCGGCUAACUCCGUGCCAGCAGCCGCGGUAAUAG
rnacentral:rRNA from 1 species